GACGAACGCUGGCGGCGUGCUUAACACAUGCAAGUCGAACGAUGAACCGGAGCUUGCUCCGGGGAUUAGUGGCGAACGGUGAGUAACACGUGGGCAACCUGCCCCAGAUACCGGGAUAACCUUCCCGAAAGGAUGGCUAAUACCGGAUACGACCACUUCGGGCAUCCGACGGUGGUGGAAAGGAUUCUGGUCUGGGAUGGGCCCGCGGCCUAUCAGCUUGUUGGUGGGUAAUGGCCUACCAAGGCGACGACGGGUAGACCGGCCUGAGAGGGCGACCGGCCACACUGGGACUGAGACACGGCCCAGACUCCUACGGGAGGCAGCAGUGGGGAAUAUUGCGCAAUGGGCGAAAGCCUGACGCAGCGACGCCGCGUGAGGGACGAAGGUCUUCGGAUUGUAAACCUCUUUCAGCAGGGACGAAGCGAAAGUGACUGUACCUGCAGAAGAAGC
rnacentral:rRNA from 1 species